rnacentral:rRNA from 1 species
GAUGAACGCUGGCGGCGUGCCUAAUACAUGCAAGUCGAGCGAACGGACGAGAAGCUUGCUUCUCUGAUGUUAGCGGCGGACGGGUGAGUAACACGUGGAUAACCUACCUAUAAGACUGGGAUAACUUCGGGAAACCGUAGCUAAUACCGGAUAAUAUUUUGAACCGCAUGGUUCAAAAGUGAAAGACGGUCUUGCUGUCACUUCUAGAUGGAUCCGCGCUGCAUUAGCUAGUUGGUAAGGUAACGGCUUACCAAGGCAACGAUGCAUAGCCGACCUGAGAGGGUGAUAGGCCACACUGGAACUUGGACACGGUCCAGACUCCUACGGGAGGCAGCAGUAGGCAAUCUGCCGCAAUGGGCGAAAGCCUGACGGAGCAACGCCGCGUGAGUGAUGAAGGUCUUCGGAUCGUAAAACUCUGUUAUUAGGGAAGAACAUAUGUGUAAGUAACUGUGCACAUCUUGACGGUACCUAAUCAGAAAGCCACGGCUAACUACGUG